CCUACGGGGGGCAGCAGUCGAGAAUCAUUCACAAUGGGGGAAACCCUGAUGGUGCGACGCCGCGUGGGGGAAUGAAGGUCUUCGGAUUGUAAACCCCUGUCAUGUGGGAGCAAAUUAAAAAGAUAGUACCACAAGAGGAAGAGACGGCUAACUCUGUGCCAGCAGCCGCGGUAAUACAGAGGUCUCAAGCGUUGUUCGGAAGCACUGGGCGUAAGGCGUGCGUAGGCUGUUUCGUAAGUCGUGUGUGAAAGGCGCGGGCUCAACCCGCGGACGGCACAUGAUACUGCGAGACUAGAGUAAUGGAGGGGGAACCGGAAUUCUCGGUGUAGCAGUGAAAUGCGUAGAUAUCGAGAGGAACACUCGUGGCGAAGGCGAGUUCCUGGACAUUAACUGACGCUGAGGCACGAAGGCCAGGGGAGCGAAAGGGAUUAGAUACCCGGGUAGUC
rnacentral:rRNA from 1 species